GUUCAGAUAGCUUAAUCCAAGAGCAUGACGUUGAAGGUGUUAAGGUGGUUGUAAGGACCUUUGGACA
rnacentral:tRNA from 1 species